rnacentral:misc_RNA from 1 species
UUUCCGUAGGUGAACCUGCGGAAGGAUCAUUAAAGAGUAAGGGUCUUCGGGCCCGAUCUCCAACCCUUUGUUUAACUACCAUGUUGCUUUGGCGGGCCCGUCUCACGACCGCCGGAAGUUUGGCUUCGACCAAACUUCUGGCCCGUGCCCGUCAGUGGCCCCUUCAAAUUCUUGAUCAAGUAUGAUGUCUUAGUUAGAAACUUAAUAGUUAAAACUUUCAACAACGGAUCUCUUGGUUCUG